rnacentral:rRNA from 1 species
CAGUCGAGCGGAACGAGUUAUCUGAACCUUCGGGGAACGAUAACGGCGUCGAGCGGCGGACGGGUGAGUAAUGCCUAGGAAAUUGCCCUGAUGUGGGGGAUAACCAUUGGAAACGAUGGCUAAUACCGCAUAAUGCCUACGGGCCAAAGAGGGGGACCUUCGGGCCUCUCGCGUCAGGAUAUGCCUAGGUGGGAUUAGCUAGUUGGUGAGGUAAUGGCUCACCAAGGCGACGAUCCCUAGCUGGUCUGAGAGGAUGAUCAGCCACACUGGAACUGAGACACGGUCCAGACUCCUACGGGAGGCAGCAGUGGGGAAUAUUGCACAAUGGGCGCAAGCCUGAUGCAGCCAUGCCGCGUGUGUGAAGAAGGCCUUCGGGUUGUAAAGCACUUUCAGUCGUGAGGAAGGUGGUGUAGUUAAUAGCUGCAUUACUUGACGUUAGCGACAGAAGAAGCACCGGCUAACUCCGUGCCAGCAGCCGCGGUAAUACGGAGGGUGCGAGCGUUAAUCGGAAUUACUGGGCGUAAAGCGCAUGCAGGUGGUUUGUUAAGUCAGAUGUGAAAGCCCGGGGCUCAACCUCGGAAUAGCAUUUGAAACUGGCAGACUAGAGUACUGUAGAGGGGGGUAGAAUUUCAGGUGUAGCGGUGAAAUGCGUAGAGAUCUGAAGGAAUACCGGUGGCGAAGGCGGCCCCCUGGACAGAUACUGACACUCAGAUGCGAAAGCGUGGGGGAGCAAACAGGAUUAGAUACCCUGG